rnacentral:rRNA from 1 species
GUUCUUCGGAACUAGAGACCGGCGCACGGGUGCGUAACGCGUAUGCAAUCUACCUUUUACAGAGGGAUAGCCCAGAGAAAUUUGGAUUAAUACCUCAUAGUAUAUAGCCCUGGCAUCAGGAUUAUAUUAAAGUCACAACGGUAAAAGAUGAGCAUGCGUCCCAUUAGCUAGUUGGUAAGGUAACGGCUUACCAAGGCUACGAUGGGUAGGGGUCCUGAGAGGGAGAUCCCCCACACUGGUACUGAGACACGGACCAGACUCCUACGGGAGGCAGCAGUGAGGAAUAUUGGACAAUGGGCGCAAGCCUGAUCCAGCCAUGCCGCGUGCAGGAUGACGGUCCUAUGGAUUGUAAACUGCUUUUAUACGAGAAGAAACACUCCUUCGUGAAGGAGCUUGACGGUAUCGUAAGAAUAAGGAUCGGCUAACUCCGUGCCAGCAGCCGCGGUAAUACGGAGGAUCCAAGCGUUAUCCGGAAUCAUUGGGUUUAAAGGGUCCGUAGGCGGUUUAAUAAGUCAGUGGUGAAAGCCCAUCGCUCAACGGUGGAACGGCCAUUGAUACUGUUAGACUUGAAUUAUUAGGAAGUAACUAGAAUAUGUAGUGUAGCGGUGAAAUGCUUAGAGAUUACAUGGAAUACCAAUUGCGAAGGCAGGUUACUACUAAUUGAUUGACGCUGAUGGACGAAAGCGUGGGUAGCGAACAGGAUUAGAUACCCUGGUAGUCCACGCCGUAAACGAUGGAUACUAGCUGUUGGAAGCAAUUUCAGUGGCUAAGCGAAAGUGAUAAGUAUCCCACCUGGGGAGUACGUUCGCA